GAUGAACGCUGGCGGCGUGCCUAAUACAUGCAAGUCGAGCGAACAGACGAGGAGCUUGCUCCUCUGACGUUAGCGGCGGACGGGUGAGUAACACGUGGAUAACCUACCUAUAAGACUGGGAUAACUUCGGGAAACCGGAGCUAAUACCGGAUAAUAUAUUGAACCGCAUGGUUCAAUAGUGAAAGACGGUUUUGCUGUCACUUAUAGAUGGAUCCGCGCCGCAUUAGCUAGUUGGUAAGGUAACGGCUUACCAAGGCAACGAUGCGUAGCCGACCUGAGAGGGGGAGCGGCCCCACUGGGACUGGGACACGGGCCAGACUCCUACGGGAGGCAGCAGGAGGGAAUCUUCCGCAAUGGGCGAAAGCCUGACGGAGCAACGCCGCGUGGGGGAUGAAGGGCUUCGGAUCGUAAAACUCUGUUAUUAGGGAAAAACAAAUGUGUAAGUAACUAUGCACGUCUUGACGGUACCUAAUCAGAAAGCCACGGCUAACUACGUU
rnacentral:rRNA from 1 species